rnacentral:tRNA from 1 species
UUUUUGUAUUAUAAAGAUUUUGAAAAUCUUUUUUGAAAAAUAAUUUUUCACAAAAAA